rnacentral:rRNA from 1 species
UAUACCGUGAAACUGCGAAUGGCUCAUUAAAUCAGUUAUCGUUUAUUUGAUAGUACCUUACUACUUGGACAACCGUGGUAAUUCUAGAGCUAAUACAUGCUGACAACCUCGACUUACGAAGAGGUGUAUUUAUUAGAUAAAAAACCCAACGCCUUUCGGGGCUUCUUUGGUGAUUCAUAAUAACUUUACGGAUCGCAUGGCCUUGCGCCGGGCGACGGUUCAUUCAAAUUUCUGCCCUAUCAACUUUCGAUGGUAAGGUAUUGGCUUACCAUGGUUUCAACGGGUAACGGGGAAUUAGGGUUCGAUUCCGGAGAGGGAGCCCGAGAAACGGCUACCACAUCCAAGGAAGGCAGCAGGCGCGCAAAUUACCCAAUCCCGAUACGGGGAGGUAGUGACAAUAAAUACUGAUACAGGGCUCUUUUGGGUCUUGUAAUUGGAAUGAGUACAAUUUAAACCUCUUAACGAGGAACAAUUGGAGGGCAAGUCUGGUGCCAGCAGCCGCGGUAAUUCCAGCUCCAAUAGCGUAUAUUAAAGUUGUUGCAGUUAAAAAGCUCGUAGUUGAACCUUGGGUCUGGCUGGCAGGUCCGCCUCACCGCGUGUACUUGUCCGGCCGGGCCUUCCUUCUGGAGAACCUCAUGCCCUUCACUGGGCGUGUUGGGGACCAGGACUUUUACUUUGAAAAAAUUAGAGUGUUCAAAGCAGGCCUUUGCUCGAAUACGUUAGCAUGGAAUAAUAGAAUAGGACGUGCGGUCCUAUUUUGUUGGUUUCUAGGACCGCCGUAAUGAUUAAUAGGGACAGUCGGGGGCAUCAGUAUUCAAUUGUCAGAGGUGAAAUUCUUGGAUUUAUUGAAGACUAACUACUGCGAAAGCAUUUGCCAAGGAUGUUUUCAUUAAUCAGUGAACGAAAGUUAGGGGAUCGAAGACGAUCAGAUACCGUCGUAGUCUUAACCGUAAACUAUGCCGACUAGGGAUCGGGCGAUGUUAUUUUUCUGACUCGCUCGGCACCUUACGAGAAAUCAAAGUUUUUGGG